rnacentral:rRNA from 1 species
UACACAUGCAAGUCGAACGAUAAGCUAGACUUCGGUUUAGUGGACAGUGGCAGACGGGUGAGUAACGCGUGGGAAUCUACCUUUGAGUGGGGAAUAACAAUUAGAAAUGAUUGCUAAUACCGCAUAUACCCUCCGGGGGAAAGGCUUCGGCCGCUCUUAGAUGAGCCCGCGUACGAUUAGUUUGUUGGUGAGGUAAAGGCUCACCAAGACUACGAUCGUUAGCUGGUUUGAGAGGAUGAUCAGCCACACUGGGACUGAGACACGGCCCAGACUCCUACGGGAGGCAGCAGUGGGGAAUAUUGGACAAUGGGCGAAAGCCUGAUCCAGCCAUGCCGCGUGAGUGAAGAAGGCCUUAGGGUUGUAAAACUCUUUCGACAGGGAAGAUAAUGACGGUACCUGUAUAAGAAGCUCCGGCUAACUCCGUGCCAGCAGCCGCGGUAAUACGGAGGGGGCAAGCGUUGCUCGGAAUUACUGGGCGUAAAGCGAGCGUAGGCGGUUAGUCAAGUUGGUGGUGAAAGCCCGGAGCUCAACUCCGGAACUGCCAUCAAAACUGACUU